rnacentral:rRNA from 1 species
UGGGGAAUAUUGGACAAUGGGGGCAACCCUGAUCCAGCCAUGCCGCGUGUGUGAAGAAGGCCUUUUGGUUGUAAAGCACUUUAAGCAGUGAAGAAGACUCCAUGGUUAAUACCCAUGGACGAUGACAUUAGCUGCAGAAUAAGCACCGGCUAACUCUGUGCCAGCAGCCGCGGUAAUACAGAGGGUGCAAGCGUUAAUCGGAAUUACUGGGCGUAAAGCGAGCGUAGGUGGAUUGAUAAGUCAGAUGUGAAAGCCCCGGGCGUAACCUGGGAACGGCAUCUGAUACUGUUAGGCUAGAGUAGGUGAGAGGAAGGUAGAAUUCCAGGUGUAGCGGUGAAAUGCGUAGAGAUCUGGAGGAAUACCGAUGGCGAAGGCAGCCUUCUGGCAUCAUACUGACACUGAGGUUCGAAAGCGUGGGUAGCAAACA